CACAAUGACCUGGAACACGGGAACACCCACCUUUAGAGAUGAGACACAAGCAGGAGAAGAGGGAUUAAACCUGCUAGUUUUGGAAAAAAAAAAAAAAAGGAAAGAAAAGAAAAGAAAGAAAGAAAAACAAAAAACAACAACAAACAGAAAAAUGCAAAACUGCAGAACACGCAGUGGAGGUUGGAUUCAGAGGACAUGGGGAUCAGUGUGGGCUGUGCUGGUCAAGGAGGGCUUCCAGGGAGAUAACUAGAAACCAGGCUUCAGAUGUCUUGGGUACCAGUUAUAAAGAUUCAGAAUCGGCAACUGAGGAUUCACUGCAAUUGUUCCUUGAGAAGAUGAGGAUCAGGUCGGGAAUUGGAAACAUCUGAGGGCUCAAUUCAACCUGGCUUCUAAAACGAACAUGGUGAACAUAGAUCAACUACUGAACUUCUUUUAACCUCUGGCAUCCUAUCUGUGAAUGGUGGGGAGGAAACAGGGUCCACCCGCUGCUGCACAAGAGGGGUGUGUGCAGACCGUCACCUUGUGUCUGCUGUAGCAGGAGACCCCUGGCCAUGCGGGACUGAACCCAUGAUUGCAGCUGAUCUUACUCUGUCUCUUCUCUGUGUGAGUAAAGUGUUGUUCCAUC
rnacentral:lncRNA from 1 species